rnacentral:rRNA from 1 species
CCCCGGCGAGGGGAGUGAAAAAGAACCUGAAACCGUGUACGUACAAGCAGUGGGAGCACAGAGCAAUCUGUGUGACUGCGUACCUUUUGUAUAAUGGGUCAGCGACUUAUAUUCUGUAGCAAGGUUAACCGAAUAGGGGAGCCGAAGGGAAACCGAGUCUUAACUGGGCGUUAAGUUGCAGGGUAUAGACCCGAAACCCGGUGAUCUAGCCAUGGGCAGGUUGAAGGUUGGGUAACACUAACUGGAGGACCGAACCGACUAAUGUUGAAAAAUUAGCGGAUGACUUGUGGCUGGGGGUGAAAGGCCAAUCAAACCGGGAGAUAGCUGGUUCUCCCCGAAAGCUAUUUAGGUAGCGCCUCGUGAAUUCAUCUCCGGGGGUAGAGCACUGUUUCGGCAAGGGGGUCAUCCCGACUUACCAACCCGAUGCAAACUGCGAAUACCGGAGAAUGUUAUCACGGGAGACACACGGCGGGUGCUAACGUCCGUCGUGAAGAGGGAAACAACCCAGACCGCCAGCUAAGGUCCCAAAGUCAUGGUUAAGUGGGAAACGAUGUGGGAAGGCCCAGACAGCCAGGAUGUUGGCUUAGAAGCAGCCAUCAUUUAAAGAAAGCGUAAUAGCUCACUGGUCGAGUCGGCCUGCGCGGAAGAUGUAACGGGGCUAAACCAUGCACCGAAGCUGCGGCAGCGACACUGUGUGUUGUUGGGUAGGGGAGCGUUCUGUAAGCCUGUGAAGGUGUGCUGUGAGGCAUGCUGGAGGUAUCAGAAGUGCGAAUGCUGACAUAAGUAACGAUAAAGCGGGUGAAAAGCCCGCUCGCCGGAAGACCAAGGGUUCCUGUCCAACGUUAAUCGGGGCAGGGUGAGUCGACCCCUAAGGCGAGGCCGAAAGGCGUAGUCGAUGGGAAACAGGUUAAUAUUCCUGUACUUGGUGUUACUGCGAAGGGGGGACGGAGAAGGCUAUGUUGGCCGGGCGACGGUUGUCCCGGUU